GGUGGCUCAGUGGUAGAGUGCUUGCCUGGCACGCAUGAGGCCCUGGGUUGGAUUCCCCAGCACCA
rnacentral:tRNA from 1 species